AUUGAACGCUGGCGGCAUGCCUUACACAUGCAAGUCGGACGGCAGCACGGGUGCUUGCACCUGGUGGCGAGUGGCGAACGGGUGAAUAAUACAUCGGAACAUGUCCUGUAGCGGGGGAUAGCCCGGCGAAAGCCGGAUUAAUACCGCAUACGAUCUACGGAUGAAAGCGGGGGACCUUCGGGCCUCGCGCUAUAGGGUUGGCCGAUGGCUGAUUAGCUAGUUGGUGGGGUAAAGGCCUACCAAGGCGACGAUCAGUAGCUGGUCUGAGAGGACGACCAGCCACACUGGGACUGAGACACGGCCCAGACUCCUACGGGAGGCAGCAGUGGGGAAUUUUGGACAAUGGGCGAAAGCCUGAUCCAGCAAUGCCGCGUGUGUGAAGAAGGCCUUCGGGUUGUAAAGCACUUUUGUCCGGAAAGAAAUCCUUGGCCCUAAUACGGUCGGGGGAUGACGGUACCGGAAGAAUAAGCACCGGCUAACUACGUG
rnacentral:rRNA from 1 species